UCCUGCUCGUGUGCCUCCUCCUGCCGUUAUCCUUGACCUCGUGGAAUUACCCCAGCCACGGAACAACUCUUCUUCUCCGCUCCCCUGUCUCUCCCAAGGCCGACGGGGCGCCGUCGCUCUCCGGCAAGAUGUUUGGGGUCGACUCCGACAGAUCCAGUCCACCUGCUUCACCACGCCGGAGUCUAUGGAAGUCCCUCGGCCUGGAGAGUGCAGGUGACGUGUUUUCCACUAAUUCUCCUCUACAGCCUGUUCUUAUUGUUUUGGUUUUCCUUUUCCUCGUCCGUAGGCUGCCAGUUCUGGACACUGGCCCUCUAGUCGUGAUGAGGCCGGUCGAGUCUCUUCGCAUCGCCAAUGGGGAAAUCUGACGUGCCAGGAAACUGGGCGGCGCCAGGCAAAGCGUUAGAUUCCCCCUGAAUUUGACGGGAUUCAGGUGUGAUCUGAAGCUACCAACGGCUGGACUGGAGGUUUGGGAUGGGGGUAGCAGCAGUGAAGCGUGAGGUUGAUCCAAACAGAAAGAGUACUUUGGAAAUAUCAAUUAGGUUAUUUAUAACCAAGCUGGAAGUUUGUUCAUGGCUAAUGGUGUUUGGUGUUUUCGUGGCUAAUGGUGUUUUUUUUCUAUUGUUAGAAAAUGCAAAUGAUUUGGUUCUAUUGGAACAUAAAAGAGAUAUGAAGGCAAUUUGUUGAA